rnacentral:tRNA from 1 species
ACGCGAUCGCGCCGCCGGCGGCCAGCAGCACGCCGCCCAGGUCGGCAUGCGCAGUCGCCAGCGGAGCGGCGGUCGAGCGCUCGGACGCGCUCAUCGCGGACC